CCGACGGUUGAGCUAACGUGAUUAGCAUGAGGUUGUAAGUAACAAGAACAUUUCCCAGGACAUAGACAUAUCGGAUUUUGGCAGAAAGCUUAAAUUCUUGUUAGUCUAACUGCACUGUCCAAUUUACAGUAGCUAUUACACUGAAAGAAUACCAUGCUAUUGUUUGAGGAGAGUGGCACAAUUAUGAACUUGAAAAUGUAUUAAUAAACCAGUUAGGCAUAUUUGGGCAGACCUGAUACAACAUUUUGAACAGAAAUGCAAUGGUUCAUUGGAUCAGUCUAAAACGUUGCACAUACACUGCUGCCGUCUAGUGGCCAAAAUCUAAAUUGCGCCUAAUUCCUAAAUCAAAUAUUGGCCUCCAGCAUUUCAAAGACUAGGGGGGCAUGACUUUUUAUCUUUGUAUUAUCUUUUACCAGAUCUAAUGUGUUAUAUUCUCUUACAUUAAUUUCACAUUUCCACAAACUUCAAAGUGUUUCCUUUCAAAUGGCAUCAAGAAUAUGCAUAUCCUUAUUUCAGGUCCUGAGCUACAGGCAGUUAGAUUUGGGUCCUGAGCUACAGGCAGUUAGAUUUGGGUCCUGAGCUACAGGCAGUUAGAUUUGGGUCCUGAGCUACAGGCAGUUAGAUUUGGGUCCUGAGCUACAGGCAGUUAGAUUUGGGUCCUGAGCUACAGGCAGUUAGAGUUGGGUCCUGAGCUACAGGCAGUUAGAGUUGGGUCCUGAGCUACAGGCAGUUAGAUUUGGGUCCUGAGCUACAGGCAGUUAGAGUUGGGUCCUGAGCUACAGGCAGUUAGAGUUGGGUCCUGAGCUACAGGCAGUUAGAUUUGGGUCCUGAGCUACAGGCAGUUAGAGUUGGGUUGUUAUUUCAGGUCCUGAGCUACAGGCAGUUAGAGUUGGGUUGUUAUUUCAGGUCCUGAGCUACAGGCAGUUAGAGGAGUUGGGUUGUUAUUUCAGGUCCUGAGCUACAGGCAGUUAGAGUUGGGUUGUUAUUUCAGGUCCUGAGCUACAGGCAGUUAGAGGAGUUGGGUUGUUAUUUCAGGUCCUGAGCUACAGGCAGUUAGAGGAGUUGGGUUGUUAUUUCAGGUCCUGAGCUACAGGCAGUUAGAGGAGUUGGGUUGUUAUUUCAGGUCCUGAGCUACAGGCAGUUAGAGUUGGGUCCUGAGCUACAGGCAGUUAGAUUUGGGUCCUGAGCUACAGGCAGUUAGAUUUGGGUUGUUAUUUCAGGUCCUGAGCUACAGGCAGUUAGAGGAGUUGGGUUUCUA